CAGAAUCUCACCUUCCCCCGCGUGCACCGACUGCUUUUCUCCCGCGUGCGCUGGCUGCUUUUGGCCACCGAUACGCUGCGUCGGCGCUCCAAAGUUCCAGGUCAGGAGAGGCUAGAGUUCCAAAUCGUAGUUCGUGUGAACCAGUGUGAACCAGUUGAAUCUCAUCAAUCUUAUCAAGUCAUCUAAUAAAAAAAGGUUUCUUCGUAUUUACCCAUACCUCUCAUCACAUGAUCAUUUUAUUACUCUGAUGUAUGUCCUGUUUAUUACAAAGGAAUAGAUAAAUAUUAGGUCAGUAGUAACUAUUUCCUUCAGCAAUUUCAUUUACAACAUCAGCCACAAAUUUCUGAAAUUGUGUGCAAGCAUCCCAAGUGAGAAUAACUGUUUUAGGAUGCCUAGGCUCUUAUGAAAAUUAGUUUGUCUGAACAUGCAUUCAUAAAUGAUGUUCAGUGAAGUAUCUGCACAAUACAUAUAGAGACUUUAGCCUGACGUGAAAAGGCUAAAUCAGUUUUGUUAGUUGCAUGUAUGCUUCAAAGUUCUAUAAGCUAUAACUAAAGAGAUUUGGACAGCAAGCUGUCGUACUAAAUAAACUCACAUGUUUUCUGUUUGCCGGAACUAUUCUCUCCGAGUAACAACCACUCUACCAAAAUCAUGGAAGACAAACCUCGGUACCAUCUUCAAUGCUCAACUUUGUAGUCACCUUAAUAUGUAGCCGCCAUUGUAUCUUUGAAAUUUACCUUUGUAGUCACCCUUAAUAUGUCAGAAUUCUCAGUGACAAACACGGUACAAAACUUCUUACAUAAUAAUGUCUUCAAGUUUCUGUGAACCAUCUUGAAGAUACGUAACAUAAUGAAACAUAUUUGACAGGUUCGACGCGUCUUAGAGUUCUACGAUGCAUCCAAGAAUUCAGAGAACGUUGACAAAUAUAUAGAUCAGCUGACCAACAAUGAAUUGUCAUCACCACCCAAAAAGAUGAAGCACACCCAGGUUAACAAAGCCAUUCCAGAUUCUACAUGUUCCAAGAAUGACAACAGUUAGACCAUCCUGAAAUACAUCAAGGUUGGGCGGCUUCCGAAGUCAUUCAGACCUGCGUCCGAGCCUACAUCAU
rnacentral:lncRNA from 1 species